rnacentral:lncRNA from 1 species
UCCGGUAACCCGUUUCAAAUCCAAAAAGGCGAUAAGCCUACAGCCAAACAUGGUUACAUCUGGUCAGCCUAAUCCUAAUCUUGUCUCUCUUGAUGAGUUCGAUGGAUUAAACAAUCAAAUUACAGAGUUGGUUAUUCUACUCAAAGAACUACACAAGUCCACUCAGGGUCCACAAAUACCCAUACAUACAGAAUCCUCUACACAUGGAGGAACCUAG